UAUAGACACCACUGUGCUUCUGAAAACAAUUUUACUUGGAAAUCAGAUUUCAAACUUAAAUGUUUGCAUCUGUUUGAAAAAUAAGAAACAGCAUAUCUUACUUUACAAGAAUACCAAAAGUACGCAAACAUGAAAACGACGAGUUAAAAAAAUUCUGGUUUGAAAUGUAUAUAUAUAUAUAAAAUUCAGCUUAGCUCGUAAGUGCGUCGGUGGUGUAACGGUCAGCAUGGCUGCCUUCCAAGCAGUCGACCCGGGUUCGACUCCCGGCCAACGCAUGUUUUUUUUUCCCCUCAUCGUCUUCUAUGUAUUCGGUCCUUAUAAUUAUUAGGUACACAUAAAUCAUACCAACAGACACGGAGACAACAACAUAGCUUACAAGUCAAGGUGAGGUGGAGACAAGUUUGAGCAUUAUACUGGAAGCUGUGGUCUGAUUUUUCUUUUUUUUUUUUUUUUUUUUUUUGAUGGGUAUGGAACAAUGAAGAGAAGAGUACAUGUACGAUGGUGUCAGUUGCAGCACCGAUGAAACAUUAGAGAACACCAUAGCAGCUAACAAAAUUAAUGAGCCCUAUAGCAGUUUACAAAAAUUAAUAUCAUAGCAGUUUAUAAAAUUAAUAAAUUCAUGAAGCAGGACGCAGAAUGGCGCCAAACAUCACGAGUUCAGUCGUGGGAGUACGUGGUCUGGAGAGCGGAGAAAAAGGAAGAUUAAAAAGUCAGAAAAAGGAAAGUUUCAGAGAAGUGGAGAACAAUUAACCCUGUAGAACGAAGAACUGCAAACAAGAAGGUCACGACGAAGACAAAACCGUUAGUGGAGGAAGUGGUGUAGAGGUACAAAGUGUCAUAGUGCAGGCAUAGAAAGAACAAGUCAGAAGAAUAGUAACGGCGCAAAAAACAACAGCAAAGAGACACUAAAAACCAUUAAGACAUUUUUAAAAAGUGAACUUGAUGUAACAACAGAAGACGUUCUGGUUUGAUAGAAGAAAAGCAGAUAUACAAAGGUUUCUGCUGAAGAGCGAGCGAAAGAGAGAUUGAAAAUGAGUUAGGCAUUUGCACGUGUCCUUAUGAACACACACCAGUAAUUGAUUAAAGUAGCCGGCACCCAUUAAAAAAAAGUUUGAUGAUUCAGUAUAAAGAUAUGGACCAGCAGAGCUGGAACUGAUAUCGCGGACGUAGAUACAUACACACGCACAUGUCCAUAAUUCCACUCAGAAGUCUGUGGUCUGACAGUGCCGCACAGUCUUCUUUGUUUACAGCUCUUGAGCGAGUGCCAGGACUCUUCACAGACUUCACGCUUACAGAUAAUUGACUAUUGAAUGCGAGGAGAGGCGGUGAUAUCCGAUCGCUCUAUACCUGUAACUGCCACAUGCAGACCGAGUCAUUCUGGUCUGGAACAACAAGCCGAGGCUGCCAUGAACUUUGGAUGAUUGCGAUCAGAGUUUUAGGAAAUUGUGUGCAGAUGAAUCAGGCGGCCAUGGGCAGUAUAACCAGAAUCCACUGCUUAUACGAAGACUACAAGAGCGCGCACACACUCACGGACACAUACAUAUCCCUCAAUCACUGACUGACAAACGCACACUUUCAUAUUCUACUUUGUACGUGAUUGAGAUGCAGCAAGAGGUGUGUGAUAGUUGAGAGAAGAGUAGAGACAUCACUGACCACAGUCUUUGUUCUCUCGCUACUACAGGAGUCUGUGUCUAGGGAAAUACUCGCCGCCUUUGUGACAUCGAAGGCAACAAGUUAUGCGUUUGAAGUGUGUGUGUGUGUGAAACUAGGGGUGAACACUAUAUAUAUAAGGAAAGUAGUUUGAUUUUUAUCAAUCAUUGCUUACUUUCACAAGAAAUUACAGCCAACAAAACUCAAGUGGGAUCUUGUACAUCGACAAUGCCAAGAAAGCGAUUAUAAACGCGUAAACGAAGAACGCCAACAUAUUAUCUCACAUGCUGUGAUAACAUCGCCACCGGUUUUCACACAUUGUGUACAACAUCGCAAACGUACAGGUUCACACAUAUGCAAGGAGGAACAGAUUGUGUGAUUUUGUUGAUGAUCUGUGAGUGUUGAGAGUUUAAAAAGAAUUUUAAAAAACAAAUGUCUACGAAACAUAUAGAAUAAACGAACGAAAACCUGUCACCACUUGAUCGUUAUCCACUUAGCCAGGUACACAACUCCUUCAAAGCGGUGAACUCGAUCUGUUUCCGAGCGCAACGGCUGAGAGCUUGGUGAACCUUGUCUACCUCGGUCGUUAGUCAAGCGUAGGAAUGUGAGAGCAGCGCUCGCGACAUACCCGACAGUCCGUCAUGGUGGCGAGGGCAGAACCUCCGAUCUUCUAACAAUCUAACGACUUGAGUCCAGAAGGCAAGAUGGUGUCAACAACAUUGAGUCAGGAUUGUGUAUAUAUCAUGAGUGUGUCGUGUCUUUGGUUCAGCAAACAUCCUCACAGUGUGUUUCUGACAUCUGCAGGAUAUAAUCUAACCGGAUACCCGUCAUGAUACGCUUAGGUGCCAGGGCGCCACAGCCCCCAGUCUCUCCUGAGCCUCAGCGCCGUCCGAGUGCGGUGGGUGACCCCAGAAAGCGGUUCACUGGAGCUCGGAGGUCAGAGAAUCUGCGGCAGAUGGUUGUGCAGCUGGUGAGAGGCAAAGAGGAGAGACCUGGUGCCAAGAAGCUUAGUGGAAUCAACGACAAGACAAGGAGCUCCUCAAAGGUCCAAAGACGCGUGCAACGCAAUGGAUAUAAGCUAUAACCAUGGCAACGAAAAUAUCGCAGAGGUGAUCAUCGACCUGAAGAAAAGCGUCGCGAGUUCUCUGUUGUCGCGAGGGCGUGUGAGGGCGUCUGGGGUCAAGCGGCGAGAUAGGGGGCUUGUUGACGAGUCUCAUGAGGCACCUUGGCAGCAAGGACGUGAGCGCGUCGUGCUGAGUGAGCUGAGUACGAACACGCCAACACCAAUGACACUGCGUCAUUCUUCUCUACUGCCGCAUCCUCCUCGACUGCUGGGGUCUGAAGAUGAUGACCAUAAUGAAACACACCUUGCUAUGACAGCAGCAGCAGCAGCUCUACCUGACCUUGCUGCAACUGAGGAUUUUACAAAGUCUUUUGCAAAGAAAGGAGAAAGGCGGGCAAGAAAAGUAGUAACUGGACAGGAGAGAAGGAUCAGUUCAAUGAAGGGUCCGUCGCGCAUUGUGGUCAUUCAGCACAACAUAGAGAACGUCCCUACUGUAACAGAAAGAAGCCACAGACAGGAGCAGCCAUAUUUGACAAAACAGGCUUCCGCAGCUGGCAAACAUUAUUCCAGGAUGCUCAUCAGAACUCUUUCACCAUUCCAGCGAUCAGCCCGGACAAGGGUCUUCAAUACGUCCGUGCCAUCUGAUUCUGCACAAGAACCCAGCAAGCACCUGCGCACAUGUCAGGACCAAGAAGCCCAUGGGCCACACCCCGACAGGACAGUGAGGUUCCACACAGACGAUUACGCACACAACCAGUCGAUGGAUGCCAGCAGGGGCCGUUCACGUCCUGCUGCAGACGAGGGAAGAAGUGUGCGGGGAAGCGCCAUCCGUCGUCAAGGCAACCAGUCCAUAGCGACUCUGCCCAGCGCUCUGACUACCAGCGGCGCUCAGCUUCUAUAGAGAUGUACAAGCGGCGUCUGAGGAUGAACCACAACAAGUUUGUGAUGGACUGUCCGACUGAGGAUGAUUGUAUAAUCACCGCUGCUGGUCCAGCACCACCUCCUCAAGAAUCUCAAGCUCCUGCCAGGGUCGUCAGACAGCCCACGCCGUUCAAGUGCAGCAGGACCAGAAAGGCAAUGGAAACUUCGAUGGAAGACCGCGAUUGUAACAGCGGGUCUAGCGACAACUCGGAAACUAAUCCAACAAAAGACAUUUCUGCACCCCAGCGCCUCUGGUUUGCACCUACGUGUUGGAAGAAGACCUGAGCCAAGGACUUGACGGAGGAGGUGUCCAUCAACCAGUGGCGUUGACCCUUCACAACCUAAACUUGCACAACGCUUUGCAGCAGCGCCGACUGGAGCGAGAGAUACUGCGGCGGAGGCGAGCUCAGCGACAGGUAACAGCUGCUGGAGAGGCUGCAGUGGGCAAGGACGAUGUGGGCAAGGUGAUGCUGGACAGUUCGCCGGACACUGACGGCAGACUGAAACGCUGGCUGAUGGAGACCCAGCAAUACCGGGACUUAAAACACAUGGUAACUUUUAAGAUCGACCCUCAAACUCCUGUGCGAGUGUGAAGCUAAUCCCUGACCAGACCUAAGAUGUCGCGCCUGCGACUCUUGGAUUAAAUUAGUAUUUAAGAAAAUUUGCAGGCGCUGGGGUGGAUAUAUCGGCUUUGAAGGUUACGGUCAAGGUGUGUGUUUGCCUCUCGAGAAAGUGGAACUAAAGUUUAUUUUGCUGUGCUGUUCAUUGUUGAACAUGAUAUAGAAAAUUCUGUAUACGCUUCGUUUGUACUAUAGUUUUUAUUGUCCUUCAGUUCUUUUGCUGUAUUAUUUUUUAAUAACCGUGCCAUUCGAGUCUACCAAUGUAGAUCAAAUACCUCCACAGUUUUCCUGGGACAAGACCGGCCCUCACGAAAACACACACACACUUUCUCUCUCAUUAAAGUGACUGACAAAACAAAUUAAGAAGAAGACAGAAAGAAGGAAAGAUACCAUAGCGAGACGUAUAUACAUGCUGUUACGUUUUCUUGGUGAGUUUAAUGUGGUAUUAGUUUUAUGGCAGACAUAACAAUCUGGUUUGCGCUUCAAGUUAGAAAUGGAUGAUAUAAUUAUGUUUUCGGCAAGAAAUAAACAGUCCGGUUUCAGUUUAUCAGACAUCCGUUAUCUAGUUCUUUUCUACCAGAUAUGAUUUUCGUUUAGGACCAUAACCUGGUUUGAGCUUUCUACUAGAAACUGGUUUGUUUCCUAACAGACGUCCAUAAGCUGGUUCAAAGUUUCGUAACAGAAAACCAGAUGUAGAUACUCUGAUUUCUAGAACCAGUGGUGCAUAAUCAGUGGUCAGUGUGUAGUACCAGAAAUCUGGUUUGAAUUUCGUACCACAUGGCAUUUUACUUUCGAUUGGUUCUACAGAUGAUUAAUCUGGUUUCGAUUUUCAACCAGACAUGAUUUCGUUUCAAUUAGUUUCACAGAUGUCUGGUUUUUCGCUUAGGACCAUAAACUGUUUGAGUUUUGUACCAGAAACUGGUUUGUUUCAUAACAGAGAAAAUCUGGCUUAAUUUCGUAUCAGACAUCCAUAAUCUGAUUUAAAGUUUCGAAACAGCCAUCCAUAAGUUGGCUUUUAUUUCGUAUCAGAUGUGGAUACUCUGAUUUCUAGAACCAGUGAACCAUAAUCUGUGGUCAGUGUGUAGUACCAGAAGUCCGCAUGAUUUGAAAUUUCGUGCCAGAAAUGAAUUAUUUGAUUUUGAUUAUACGUUCCACAGAUGAUUCAAUCUGGUUUCAAUUUCCAACUACACCUGAUUAUUUAGCUUUCCACUGGUUUCACAGAUGUCUGACUUCUGUUUCUUACUGGAGCUUGUAUAAAUUUCUGUCAGUUUUACAGCAGAUAUACAUUUCGUAUCAGAGUCCAUGAUCUGGGGUUUGUGUUUCGGAUCAAACAUGGAUUCUGUGAUUUCACUUCAGUACCGCAGUCAUGCAUAGUGUGGUCAGUUAUGGCACCAGACAUACAUAAUUCGGUUUGAAUUUCGUACAAAACAUGAAUUAUUUGAUUUCGAUCAGUUGUGUCACAGAGAGGAUUCAUCUGGUUUCGAUUUCGAACAGCCAUGAAGACCUCGUGUUAGGUGUGCCACAGAUGUCUGGCUUCUGUACUACAGAUGCAAAGUCCACUUUCAGUUUCGCACCAGAUACACAUUUUCCAGGAAAGUGAACUGAGUAUGUGUUCAGCUUUUCGGCUCCAUGUAACAGCACACAUAAUAUCUGACUGGUGUUGUACUGUUAACCCGUGUGUCCCACAAGCCGAGUAAUUGUCAACUUUUCGCCUUUUCGAAGUGGCCAGGUAAGAAUACUAACAACAUUCUUGCUGAGUGCUUUCCAUAUCACAACGUGCAAGAGCGCACACUUUCGCUGGGCAAUACUCAAAAAAAAAAUCAUUAAGAUUUCUCCAGGGAGGGACAUAUCUGCAUUUUCGAUUUUUUUGUGGGGUUUUUUUUUCAAAAUUACAUCAGUUCAGAACAUUUUAAAACAUUCGCGACCCAUAUGGGAACAGUAGGGGAGGCUGGGAUAUCCGAAUGAACACACCAAAGUGCUGACUGUUACAUUCCCCCUAUCACUUACCAACUCCCUCUUCCACCAUGCUUUUUCUUUUUCCUGCACACUUCAUGUUCUUGCAAAGUUUCCCAUGAUCAUUUAUUUAUACAUUUUUAAUAAAUUUUUCACACGUUCUUGCAAUUUUUAUCAUUGGACUGUACUCAAAGCUUCCACUGUGAGGGAUGAUGUGUUGUACCAGCUGUUAUUAUUACUAUUUUGUCCAUGAAUAAACACAUUUCCUUGAUCUUUCAUGAUUAUACACAUGCACAAUGGUACACCUAUCCAUAAUUUAUUAUUACAAGUUUCUCUUCAACUUAAAUGUCACAGGCCUUGUACUUGAUAAGAUAUAAUAUAUGUUGCUUGUAUAUUUAUCCAUACAGAGACAUAUUGCAAAAACUCUUGAGAACUAUAAAAAUAAAUGCCUGGUGCUGGGAUCUUUGCUUAAUAAAAUAAACGAUGAAUA